rfam:Schistosoma curassoni strain Dakar, Senegal genome assembly, scaffold: SCTD_scaffold0000068
AUCCAGCUGACUAGUGCCAAAUAGGACGAAACGUGCGUGAAACUGGAU